rnacentral:rRNA from 1 species
CCUACGGGAGGCAGCAGUGGGGAAUAUUGGGCAAUGGAGGAAACUCUGACCCAGCGACGCCGCGUGCGGGAUGAAGGCCUUCGGGUUGUAAACCGCUUUCAGUAGGGAAGAAGCGAAAGUGACGGUACCUACAGAAGAAGCACCGGCUAACUAUGUGCCAGCAGCCGCGGUAAUACAUAGGGUGCAAGCGUUGUCCGGAAUUAUUGGGCGUAAAGAGCUCGUAGGUGGUUCGUCACGUCGGAUGUGAAAAUCUGGGGCUCAACCCCAGACCUGCAUUCGAUACGGGCGAUCUAGAGUGUGGUAGGGGAGACUGGAAUUCCUGGUGUAGCGGUGGAAUGCGCAGAUAUCAGGAGGAACACCAAUGGCGAAGGCAGGUCUCUGGGCCAUUACUGACACUGAGGAGCGAAAGCGUGGGGAGCGAACAGGAUUAGAUACCCUGGUAGUCCACGCCGUAAACGGUGGGCACUAGUUGUGGGAACCUUCCACGGUUUCUGCGACGCAGCUAACGCAUUAAGUGCCCCGCCGGGGGAGUACGAUCGCAAGAUUAAAACUCAAAUGAAUUGACGG